CCCUUUCAGAGGUCGCUGUCCAUUCAAACAGUACAUCCCAAGCAAACCAGGCAAAUAUGGGAUCAAGAUCUGGGCAGCAUGUGAUGCCAGGAGCAGCUACGCCUGGAAUAUGCAGGUUUACACAGGGAAACCUGUUACUGGAAGGCCAGAAAAAAAACAAGUCAUGCGUGUUGUGUUGGACAUGACAGCCGGUCUCGAGGGGCAUAACAUCACAUGUUAUAACUUUUUCACAUCACAUGGGCUUGGUCAGGAGCUGCUGAAAAGAAAGCUCCUCAUGGUGGGGACAGUGAGGAAGAACAAGCCUCAACUUCCCCCUGCCCUGGUUUCGACCAGAGGGAGAAAUGCACUCUCAUCCAAAUUUGCUUUCACUUACACACAGUCUUGGGUCAUAUUUGCCCAAGAAAAAUAAGAAUGGCAUCCUGAUGAGCACUCGACACAAAUACGCCACUGUCAGCAAAGCAGAGCACAGGAAACCCCAGAACAUACUAGACUACAACAGAAACAAAGGAGGCGUUGACUGCCUUGAUAAGCUUACUGGUACAUACACCUGCAAGUGAAUGACAGCUCGUUGGCCUGUGGCAGUGUUCCACAACAUCCUUGAUGUGUCUGCAUGUAAUGCAUAUGUGGUGUGGACAGCGAUUGACCCAGCCUGGAAUCAGGGGAAAUGUUUCAAGAGGAGACUCUUCCUGGCAGAGCUUGGGAAAGCUUUAGUGACUCCUCUAAUUCAACGGCGCCAGCACCUUCCCCGCACACCAGCCUAUGGCAGUCUGGUGAGGAGUCUGCAAGCCCCAGCCACUGCCCUGGCCGCUCUCCCCCCAAAACAGGGGCAGAAACUGAAGAGAUGCAAGCUCUGUGCCCCUAGAGACAAUGAGACAAGUCUUACAUGUUUCAAAUGUGAUGCAUACGUUUGCAAGGCACACUGCGACCUGAUUGCAAAAUGCCACUCCUGUGUUUGAACACACACACACACACACACACACACACACACACACACACACACACACACACACACACACACACACACACACACACACACACACUAACACACACACACACACACACACACACACACACACACACACACACACACACACACACACACACACACACACACACACACACACAA